UAAGGAAUAUUGGUCAAUGGACGGAAGUCUGAACCAGCCACGCCGCGUGGAGGAUGAAGGCCCUCUGGGUUGUAAACUUCUUCUAUUUGGGACGCAACACUCUUUAUCUAGAGAGCUUGACGGUACCAGAUGAAUAAGCACCGGCUAACUCCGUGCCAGCAGCCGCGGUAAUCCGGAGGGUGCAAGCGUUAUCCGGAUUCAUUGUGGUUAAAGGGUGCGUAGGCGGAUUUGUAAGUCCGUGGUGAAAUCUCUAAGCUUAACUUGGAAAUUGCCGUGGAUACUAUGAGUCUUGAAUAUUGUGGAGGUUAGCGGAAUAUGUAAUGUAGCGGUGAAAUGCAUAGAUAUGACAUAGAACACCAAUUGCGAAGGCAGCUGGCUACACAACUAUUGACGCUGAGGCACGAAAGCGUGGGGAUCAAACA
rnacentral:rRNA from 1 species